rnacentral:rRNA from 1 species
UACGUAGGGCGCAAGCGUUGUCCGGAAUUAUUGGGCGUAAAGAGCUCGUAGGCGGCCUGUUGCGUCCGCUGUGAAAUCCCGGGGCUCAACCCCGGGCCUGCAGUGGAUACGGGCUGGCUAGAGGCAGGCAGGGGAGAACGGAAUUCCUGGUGUAGCGGUGAAAUGCGCAGAUAUCAGGAGGAACACCGGUGGCGAAGGCGGUUCUCUGGGCCUGUACUGACGCUGAGGAGCGAAAGCGUGGGGGAGCGAACAGG